GACGAACGCUGGCGGCGUGCUUAACUCAUGCAAGUCGAACGGAAAGGCCCUGCUUUUGUGGGGUGCUCGAGUGGCGAACGGGUGAGUAACACGUGAGUAACCUGCCCUUGACUUUGGGAUAACUUCAGGAAACUGGGGCUAAUACCGGAUAGGAGCUCCUGCUGCAUGGUGGGGGUUGGAAAGUUUCGGCGGUUGGGGAUGGACUCGCGGCUUAUCAGCUUGUUGGUGGGGGAGUGGCUUACCAAGGCUUUGACGGGUAGCCGGCCUGAGAGGGUGACCGGCCACAUUGGGACUGAGGUACGGCCCAGACUCCAACGGUGGGCAGCAGUGGGGAAUAUUGCACAAUGGGCGGACGCCUGAUGCAGCAGCGCCGCGUGCGGGAUGACGGCCUUCGGGUUGGAAACCGCUUUCGCCUGUGACGAAGCGUGAGUGACGGUAAUGGGUAAAGAAGCACCGGCUAACUACGUG
rnacentral:rRNA from 1 species